rnacentral:rRNA from 1 species
UACAGAGGUCCCGAGCGUUGUUCGGAAUCACUGGGCGUAAAGGGUGCGUAGGCGGGUCUUUAAGUCAGGGGUGAAAUCCUGGAGCUCAACUCCAGAACUGCCUUUGAUACUGAGGAUCUUGAGUCCGGGAGAGGUGAGUGGAACUGCGAGUGUAGAGGUGAAAUUCGUAGAUAUUCGCAAGAACACCAGUGGCGAAGGCGGCUCACUGGCCCGGUACUGACGCUGAGGCACGAAAGCGUGGGGAGCAAACAGG